rnacentral:rRNA from 1 species
GACGAACGCUGGCGGCGUGCCUAACACAUGCAAGUCGAGCGGGGUUGAAGCGAGAGGUAACUCGAGUUUCUACCUAGCGGCGGACGGGUGAGUAACGCGUGGGCAACCUGCCUCAAGGUCUGGGAUAACAGCCCGAAAGGGCUGCUAAUACCGGGUAUGCUUGUGGCCUCGCAUGGGGCUAUGAGCAAAGGGGAAACCCGCCUUGAGAUGGGCCCGCGUCCCAUCAGCUAGUUGGUGAGGUAACAGCUCACCAAGGCGACGACGGGUAGCCGGCCUGAGAGGGUGACCGGCCACACUGGGACUGAGACACGGCCCAGACUCCUACGGGGGCAGCAGUGGGGGAUCUUGCACAAUGGGCGAAAGCCUGAUGCAGCGACGCCGCGUGAGCGAAGAAGGCCUUCGGGUUGUAAAGCUCUGUCUGGAGGGACGAAGGAAGGUGACGGUACCGUCCGGAGGAAGCCACGGCGUAACUACGUGCCAGCAGCCGCGGUAACACGAGAGUA